rnacentral:rRNA from 1 species
CCUACGGUGAGCAGCAGUGGGGAAUAUUGGACAAUGGGCGAAAGCCUGAUCCAGCCAUGCCGCGUGUGUGAAGAAGGCCUUCGGGUUGUAAAGCACUUUCAGUGGGGAAGAAAGCCUUGGGGCUAAUACCCUCGAGGAAGGACAUCACCCACAGAAGAAGCACCGGCUAACUCCGUGCCAGCAGCCGCGGUAAUACGGAGGGUGCGAGCGUUAAUCGGAAUUACUGGGCGUAAAGCGCGCGUAGGCGGUCUGAUAAGCCGGUUGUGAAAGCCCCGGGCUCAACCUGGGAACGGCAUCCGGAACUGUCAGGCUAGAGUGCAGGAGAGGAAGGUAGAAUUCCCGGUGUAGCGGUGAAAUGCGUAGAGAUCGGGAGGAAUACCAGUGGCGAAGGCGGCCUUCUGGACUGACACUGACGCUGAGGUGCGAAAGCGUGGGUAGCAAACAGGAUUAGAUACCCCAUAGUC